rnacentral:lncRNA from 1 species
CUUAGGUUUCAUGGGGACAACAAAUUAACUAGAAGUCCUGUUUGAACUUCAGAGGGUGAGGCUGGGGUUAUUGCCUGCCCAGUUUGUAUAUUGGACUAUUAGGAGGGCUUAACUGAACCUUAAUAAAGGUAUCUACCUUUUAUGAUUCUGGAAGCUUCAGUGAAGAUGGUUGUGGUGACCUGAAAGGAAGUGAUAUUUUAGAGUACUUCUAUUAAACAUAUGUAUCAUUGAGAAACUUGAGAGGUGACUCAAGACCAGGAAAAGGUGUAAUGCAUCCUAUUAGUGUAUUCAGGACAUAGUCCACUCAUCCCCAAAGCCCUAUUUCUACUUUUUUCUUGGUCAAUCUAAAUUGUAAGGGCGAUCAUGUCAGGAGUUGUUAAGACAUCUUUUCAAUUGUAGAAGUGUUUAUGGGGAAAAUGCCAAUAGUACAUUACAUUGUAAUACCUCCAUUCAAAAUUUUUUGUUUUAGGAAGUUUUGCUUAUGUGAUCAAAGUAUAAAGGUAGAAAUGCU